rnacentral:rRNA from 1 species
UAGGGAAUCUUCCACAAUGGGCGAAAGCCUGAUGGAGCAACGCCGCGUGUGUGAUGAAGGGUUUCGGCUACGUAAAACACUGCUGUAAGAGAAGAAUGACAUUGAGAGUAACUGUUCAAUGUGUGACGGUAUCUUACCAGAAAGGAACGGCUAAAUACGUGCCAC